UACAGAGGUCCCAAGCGUUGUUCGGAUUCAUUGGGCGUAAAGGGUGCGUAGGCGGCGCGGUAAGUCGGGUGUGAAAUCUCGGAGCUUAACUUCGAAACUGCAUUCGAUACUGCCGUGCUUGAGGACUGGAGAGGAGACUGGAAUUUACGGUGUAGCGGUGAAAUGCGUAGAUAUCGUAAGGAAGACCAGUGGCGAAGGCGGGUCUCUGGACAGUUCCUGACGCUGAGGCACGAAGGUCAGGGGGAGCAAACGGG
rnacentral:rRNA from 1 species